UACGUAGGGUGCAAGCGUUGUCCGGAUUUAUUGGGUUUAAAGGGUGCGUAGGCGGCUUUGUAAGUCAGUGGUGAAAUACUCUAGCUUAACUAGAGGGGUGCCAUUGAUACUGCGGAGCUUGAGUACAGAUGAGGUAGGCGGAAUUGACGGUGUAGCGGUGAAAUGCAUAGAUAUCGUCAAGAACACCGAUAGCGAAGGCAGCUUACUGGGCUGUAACUGACGCUGAUGCACGAAAAGUGUGGGGGAUCAAACAGG
rnacentral:rRNA from 1 species